UGUAAUUUAGUGUAUGAUGCACUUUGGAUUUUGAUUCCAAUAGAUUAAGUUUAAUUCUUAGAUUUACAA
rnacentral:tRNA from 1 species